GACGAAGAACGCAGCGAAAUGCGAUAAGUAGUGUGAAUUGCAGAAUUCAGUGAAUCAUCGAAUCUUUGAACGCACAUUGCGCCCUUUGGUAUUCCUUAGGGCAUGCCUGUUCGAGCGUCAUUUAAACCUUCAAGCUAAGCUUGGUGUUGGGUGACUGUCCGCUUCACGGCGGACUCGCCUCAAAAUUAUUGGCGGCCGGUACAUUGGCUUCGAGCGCAGCAGAAACGCGAACUCGGGCCCGUCGUAUUGGCUCCCAGAAGCUAUCUUCACAAUUUUGACCUCGGAUCAGGUAGGGAUACCCGCUGAACUUAAGCAUAUCAAUAAGCGGAGGA
rnacentral:misc_RNA from 1 species